AGCCUUUUGCCAAAUGGCUUAACUUAUUGAUGGGAUCUCUCUCAAACAUAUUAUGCAUUGAGUCAGUGUACAUAUCGAUUAUUGCUGGUAUCUCUUCUAAAGCUCUAUAUCAUCAAUUACAGGCAGGUGGAAAUAUUUAUUGGAUCUCUAUAUCAUCAAUUAGUGUUACACACACGCUUUACUGACCAUGAAAUAUAUAUGGCCAAUGCUAAGCCUGGUGCUUUUUGGUAACCUGAAUUCUUUUCUCACACAUGUGCUUUUUUUUUUUUUUCCUACAUGUUCAGUAAUAUAAUGGUCAUUUGCUGCUGAAUAUUUUUCUGUGCUAGAGUUUUUGCUUUGAUUAACUGUCAACAGCAGUGGGGCGGUUCAUGGCCAACUGACUGCCCCAGUAUUACUGGAUGCAUGGUUUAAUUUCCUUCACAUUUAAAGGAACUAAUAAAUAUACGUCUACACUUGUGCAGCACUUGCUUUUAACUUUUGUCUUUGUUUUGGUAGCUUGUUGCUUUCGUCAUUGCUUCAUUGGACACAUUCGUAGGAUUUGCACGCAAUAUUUGCAGAGCAAUUAAAGGUAACAUUUGUGUUAACUUGGGGAAAAAAAAAUAUUUGAUUCGCUUUGAAUCGUUGCACUCACUGUUUAUCAACAUAUGCAUAAAAUCUCAUUAGCAACCACCAAUCCACCAUGUUUAAUUUGUAUGCCAUUAAGUUUGUAUAAGCUUGCUAUUGAAUGUAUUAAAGUUUACAUAAAAGUCGCUGCAUUUGACGUGUCUAGGUUAAUUUAUUAAGGGUUGUCGCGGCCAGUUUUGAUUCUUUAUUACGGUUGCACUUGAAGCAUGAGAAGACUUAAGUAACGUGCAAUUAAAGUAAACAUACGCCGACUCUUUUAGUUAUAUUAACAAGUAUUAUUCUUGAGAUAGAUAAAUCCUUAAUUAAUUACUAUCACGUGAUAGAUUGUCCGCUGAAUAUGAAAACGGAGUUAAAGAAUUCUUGUGACUUGCUGUGCUUCAUUCUGACAAUCGUCGGUCAAUUAGAUGUCCUUGUAAUAAAUGUACUGCAACAUGAAGAUUUACAAAACUGAGGAAAUAAAGUUUCAUUUGCUUAAAUUCAGGUUUCUGCCAACAUAUCAAGUUGGACUAGGCAUGGGGAGAGAUUGACCUAAAUGCAACCUCUAGCAGUUGCCCAAAUCAUUCUCAAAGUCAUCAAGUUAUGGACAUGGUCCAUGAGGCUUACGAACAAUGUGACAAGAAUCCUAGGAAUUUAAGGGAUAUACGAGAAGAUGCUACAAAGUCCUCGUACCCAAAUUCGAAGCCAUCUAAAUUGUUGGUGUUAAUAGAAAUUAUAUAAUAUGAAAGACAAGCAUGAAUGAUCUGAUCAAGGGUUUACGGUUUUGGUGGAAGUAUUUUCUGACAUAUUUUCAGAAAUAACACAAUUCCUAAAUCAAUGGAGGCAUGCCAAAAUUCUACGGAGUAGAGCACUUGUUUCAGGUCAAAAUUCUUCUCUAACUAUUGAAGCAUUUGGACGUCGGGCUAAUUGUAUUUAUUUUAUUGAUGAAUGUGAAUAUGUGAUGAAUCUUUUUCAGAUUUUGUUAAUGAUAAAAAAAAGGAGGAAAAUGUAUGGGUGACGUUCAAAUUUUGUAUUUAUAUAUUUUAUUGAUGAAUGUGAAUAUG
rnacentral:lncRNA from 1 species